rnacentral:tRNA from 1 species
GCCGAGGUGGCACAAUCUGGUACUGCGCUGGAUUGCUAAUCCAGUGUCCGCAAGGACUUGUGGGUUCAAAUCCCACCCUCGGCG